rnacentral:rRNA from 1 species
AUACGUAGGGGGCGAGCGUUGUCCGGAAUGAUUGGGCGUAAAGGGCGCGUAGGCGGCGCGGUAAGUCUGGAGUGAAAGUCCUGCUUUCAAGGUGGGAAUUGCUUUGGAUACUGCCGCGCUUGAGUGCAGGAGAGGUUAUCGGAAUUCCCGGUGUAGCGGUGAAAUGCGUAGAGAUCGGGAGGAACACCAGUGGCGAAGGCGGGUAACUGGACUGCAACUGACGCUGAGGCGCGAAAGCGUGGGGAGCAAACAGGAUUAGAUACCCUGGUAGUCCACGCCCUAAACGAUGAAUACUAGGUGUGGGGGGACUGACCCCCUCCGUGCCGGAGUAAACACAAUAAGUAUUCCACCUGGGGAGUACGACCGCAAGGUUGAAACUCAAAGGAAUUGACGGGG